GCAAGUCGAGCGAGAAGCUUCUUCGGAAGUGGAGAGCGGCGAAAGGGUGAGUAACGUAUAAACGACCUACCUCUAAGAGGGGGAUAACAGUUCGAAAGGGCUGCUAAUACCGCAUAAGGUUACAAUGAUGCAUGUUGUUGUAAUUAAAGUGGGGGAUCUUCGGACCUCACGCUUGGAGAGGGGUUUGUAUUCUAUUAGCUUGUUGGUGGGGUAAAAGCCUACCAAGGCAGUGAUGGAUAGCCGGCCUGAGAGGGGGAUC
rnacentral:rRNA from 1 species